UCCGUGGCUCAAGAACGAACGCUGGCGGCAUGCCUAACACAUGCAAGUCGAACGAGACCUUCGGGUCUAGUGGCGCACGGGUGCGUAAUGCGUGGGAACCUGCCUUUAGGUUCGGAAUAACUCAGAGAAAUUUGAGCUAAUACCGGAUAAUGUCUUCGGACCAAAGAUUUAUCGCCUUUAGAUGGGCCCGCGUUGGAUUAGCUAGUUGGUGGGGUAAAGGCCUACCAAGGCGACGAUCCAUAGCUGGUCUGAGAGGAUGAUCAGCCACACUGGGACUGAGACACGGCCCAGACUCCUACGGGAGGCAGCAGUGGGGAAUAUUGGACAAUGGGCGAAAGCCUGAUCCAGCAAUGCCGCGUGAGUGAUGAAGGCCUUAGGGUUGUAAAGCUCUUUUACCCGAGAUGAUAAUGACAGUAUCGGGAGAAUAAGCUCCGGCUAACUCCGUG
rnacentral:rRNA from 1 species